rnacentral:sRNA from 1 species
GGACGACGUUGACUUGAGUGCCUUAC